GCUUUCAACAUCCCCGUCUCAGAGGCAAAGGACGGCGCUGAUGGUUUGGCGCUCGACGUCUCGGUGAGACUGAAGGC
rnacentral:sRNA from 16 species